rnacentral:rRNA from 1 species
GGAGUUAGCCGGUGCUUCUUCUGUGAGUGAUGUCCUUCCUGCCGGUUAUUGACCCGCAGGCCUUCUUCCUCACUGAAAGUGCUUUACAACCCGAAGGCCUUCUUCACACACGCGGCAUGGCUGGAUCAGGGUUGCCCCCAUUGUCCAAUAUUCCCCACUGCUGCCUCCCGUAGGAGUCUGGGCCGUGUCUCAGUCCCAGUGUGGCUGAUCAUCCUCUCAGACCAGCUACGGAUCGUCGCCUUGGUGAGCCGUUACCUCACCAACCAGCUAAUCCGACAUAGGCUCAUCCGAUAGCGCGAGGCCCGAAGGUCCCCCGCUUUCCCCCGUAGGGCGUAUGCGGUAUUAGCCUGGGUUUCCCCAGGUUAUCCCCCACUACCGGGCAGAUUCCUAUGCAUUACUCACCCGUCCGCCGCUCGCCACCCAGGGAGCAAGCUCCCCGUGCUGCCGCUCGACUUGCAUGUGUUAGGCCUGCCGCCAGCGUUCAAUCUGAACCAAGAUCAAAUUCUGA